UACGGGGGGAGCAAGCGUUGUUCGGAUUUACUGGGCGUAAAGGGCGCGUAGGCGGCGCAACAAGUCACUUGUGAAAUCUCCGGGCUUAACCCGGAGCGGCCAAGUGAUACUGUCGUGCUAGAGUGCGGAAGGGGCUACUGGAAUUCUCGGUGUAGCGGUGAAAUGCGUAGAUAUCGAGAGGAACACCUGCGGCGAAGGCGGGUAGCUGGGCCGACACUGACGCUGAUGCGCGAAAGCCAGAGGAGCGAACGGG
rnacentral:rRNA from 1 species